rnacentral:rRNA from 1 species
GAUGAACGCUCGCUACAGGCUUAACACAUGCAAGUCGAGGGGAAACGCCAUCGAAAGCUUGCUUUUGAUGGGCGUCGACCGGCGCACGGGUGAGUAACGCGUAUCCAACCUGCCCAUCACUUGGGAAUAACCUUGCGAAAGUAAGACUAAUACCCAAUGACAUCCCACGAAGACAUCUGAAUGGGAUUAAAGAUUUAUCGGUGAUGGAUGGGGAUGCGUCUGAUUAGCUUGUUGGCGGGGUAACGGCCCACCAAGGCAACGAUCAGUAGGGGUUCUGAGAGGAAGGUCCCCCACAUUGGAACUGAGACACGGUCCAAACUCCUACGGGAGGCAGCAGUGAGGAAUAUUGGUCAAUGGGCGAGAGCCUGAACCAGCCAAGUAGCGUGCAGGAUGACGGCCCUAUGGGUUGUAAACUGCUUUUAUAAGGGAAUAAAGUGGGUCUCGUGAGACUUUUUGCAUGUACCUUAUGAAUAAGAACCGGCUAAUUCCGUG